rnacentral:rRNA from 1 species
UACGUAGGGGGCAAGCGUUGUCCGGAAUUAUUGGGCGUAAAGCGCGCGCAGGCGGUGGUUUAAGUCUGGUGUCUAAUCCCAAGGCUCAACUUUGGGACGCAUUGGAAACUGGGUCACUGGAGUGUAGGAGAGGAAAGUGGAAUUCCACGUGUAGCGGUGAAAUGCGUAGAUAUGUGGAGGAACACCAGUGGCGAAGGCGACUUUCUGGCCUAUAACUGACGCUGAGGCGCGAAAGCGUGGGGAGCAAACAGG